rnacentral:rRNA from 1 species
AUUGAACGCUGGCGGCAGGCCUAACACAUGCAAGUCGAACGAGUGGCGGACGGGUGAGUAAUGUCUGGGAAACUGCCUGAUGGAGGGGGAUAACUACUGGAACCGGUAGCUAAUACCGCAUACCAUCGGAUGUGCCCAGAUGGGAUUGGCUUGUAGGGGGGGUAAAGGCUCACCUAGGCGACGAUCCCUAGCUGGUCUGAGAGGAUGACCAGCAAAACGGGAACGGAGACACGGCCCAGACUCCUACGGGAGGCAGCAGUGGGGAAUAUUGCACAAUGGGCGAAAGCCUGAUGCAGCCAGGCCGCGGGUAGGAAGAAGGCCUUCGGGUUGUAAAGUACUUUCAGCGGGGAGGCGUUAACCGCAGAAGAAGCACCGGCUAACUCCGUGCCAGCAGCCGCGGUAAUAC